rnacentral:rRNA from 1 species
UACGUAGGGGGCAAGCGUUGUCCGGAUUUACUGGGCGUAAAGAGCGCGUAGGCGGAAGCUUAAGUGUGGCCUGAAAGCCCCCGGCUCAACCGGGGAAGGUGGCUGCAAACUGGGCUUCUUGAGGGGGAUAGGGGAAAGUGGAAUUCCGGGUGUAGCGGUGAAAUGCGUAGAGAUCCGGAGGAACACCAGUGGCGAAGGCGGCUUUCUGGGUCCGCCCUGACGCUGAGGCGCGAAAGCGUGGGGAGCGAUCCGG